ACGUCCAGAAGCAGACUGACCUUCCCUAGGAGCUUGUCAACAGGUAAUGAUCAUCAUUUUUGUCAUGAAGACUCCUGCUCCGCACCAGAGCCAAUGCCUUCCACUGAUUGACCAAUGGUUCCUGUUCCUGGUUUACCUGUCGCUGGUCAGAAAGAGCAGGAUCUGAGGGAUUGUCUCAACAUCCAUCAGUCCACUCUCAGCGGGAUUAGAAACACUUGGGUCAGUUUAUUUAUUUAAUUUACUUGGCGCAGUUGGAAUUUGGAUGUCUCCUAAGGACAUUAAAGCCACGAUGACAAGUGUGUGUUCGGCAAGAAGACUUACACCUAGUUUUCAUUAGCUGUGUUUCCAUCCAAAGAGAUUUAUCCACAAAACUGGAAUAUUGCAUAAGACAUUUAUGAAUAAAGCACUGUUUCCAUCUAAGAGAACAAAACUGGUCACUUCCUGAUAAACCGGCACCAAAUAUAAAAAAGAAAAAGGGAAUUUUCUGUGGUAGGAGAAGACACUGUGGUCCUUUCUCUUAUAUAAUAAAUGACUUGCGCCUGGAGAUAAUAAUACUGAACCAGUCUGAGGAUGAACUUUGGCUGAAUGAUUUUAGAAUGACCAAAACAACAUGUCAGAUGCUCUACAUUGUGGUCGGUCCACUUGUUUGCCUAAUGCUGUACCAUCACUCCUAGUUAUCACAUAAUCUGUUAAAACAAAAUCACAUGAAUUUCUUUGAUGCGCAUGUUGGAAUUUAUUUCAGUAAAUGUCUUUUCAUCAUAGUUGGAUGAUUCAAUUCAGCAUUUUUAUUCUAUGUUUGACGUAAUCUCAACUGAAACAUGGAGAGAGGG